rnacentral:rRNA from 6 species
GGCCUGAGAGGGUGAUCCCCCACACUGGUACUGAGACACGGACCAGACUCCUACGGGAGGCAGCAGUGAGGAAUAUUGGACAAUGGGUGAGAGCCUGAUCCAGCCAUCCCGCGUGAAGGACGACGGCCCUAUGGGUUGUAAACUUCUUUUGUAUAGGGAUAAACCUACCCUCGUGAGGGUAGCUGAAGGUACUAUACGAAUAAGCACCGGCUAACUCCGUGCCAGCAGCCGCGGUAAUACGGAGGGUGCAAGCGUUAUCCGGAUUUAUUGGGUUUAAAGGGUCCGUAGGCGGAUGUGUAAGUCAGUGGUGAAAUCUCACAGCUUAACUGUGAAACUGCCAUUGAUACUGCAUGU